UAAUCCCUUCCCCCCGAGGCUCGAAGAAAAAAAAAUCCCCCCACCACAACCCCACGCUCUCCCAUCGGUUGCACCUAUCUGCCGUGGCCCGCCGCUCCCUCUUCUGCUUCACGGGACGCCGGAUGCCCCGCCGCUCCGCCGGUCACUGCGCUCCCCACCCCCAGCAGUUGCCGUCGCUCACUCCACCAGAUACUCGCAGCAAAGAUUCUGCGGCGGAGGCCUGGAAGAAGGACGAAGGGGGUGGGGUCGUUGCCGGCGAUGAGCACAUCUCCGAGGAGUCUCUUCGGACGAGGUUUUUUCUCUCUCUCCCGUCUCGAUGGAGUCGGCUACUCUUUCCCUCCCUUGCCCUGCCCUCCCCUAGCGGAGGCGACACACUCCUCUCAUCUAUCGCCCGGGGAUGCCCUGCCCUCCCGUGGGGAAUGGGAUCUGGUGGCGCCCUUCGAACGUCGAGAGGUGGCACAACCCGCCACACACUUGUCCCCCCUCCUCAGGAUCCUCAAUUUCUCAUCUAAAAGGUUUAUGUGGAUGGAACUACCACCAUAUCCACCCAGCCUUUUGGUUUGAUCUUGUGAUGCUGACGCACAUUGCCUUUCAUGUUCCUACUAUCCGCCUUUCAGUUUUAACUUAUAAUGCUGACGCAUAUUUUCUUUCAACAGCUAUGAUAUUUCCGUCCUACAUGGAUGUAUGCAACUGCAUGAAUGGAACAACGAAGCCCCUGUCAUGAAAAUUGCAGAAUGAUGGCAGAGAUACCGAGGCGUGAAAUAAAAGGCAAAUGUGAAGCUCCUGCAUCAAUCCUCAGACUGAUUCCUGCAAAUUUUCCUGCAGAACUACAACAUGGUAGUCUUGAAGUAAAUACUAUUUCUGUUAUUUUCUAUGUGUUUUUAGCAGAAUAGAUAGUUAGUAUUGUUUUUCCUCUCAAGUUCAAGAUGAGGGCGACCAAUUAAGAAAACAGUUUGGUGAGAUGGAGUGGCGGGUUUGCUAGAAUUAAUGUAGCUUAUUCUGCCGCAAACUUCUGUUCAUGCCUAUGACAUCUUCUGGGAUCUUUUUUUUCAGGAAACUAUUUUGUUUACUCCAUCCUAUUGGCAUGUCUAUUGCAGCAGUGAAACUUAAACGAACACUUCUAGGCUAGAUAUUAUUAAGGUGUGCAUACGUUGAUCCUUUACAUGGAUCUUGCCAUCUUUAUUUGCCAGUCAAUUGAACUAUUUGAGAAUCUUGAAGGCAAGCUCAAGGAAAUACAUCAUUACCUUUUAGUUUUACUUUUGAGUUGUUGGAAUCAAUCUGGAAAACAUCUUCCUAUUGUAGAUACAAUAUUUACUGCUUUGCAGUCUUAUACUCUGUUUGUUAUUGCACAUUACAGAAAUAGUAAGAUUAUGCUUAUGCCAUUGUGCUGAUAGACAUUGGCUACUUAAUAGUAUGGAGAGGACAAUAUCGAAAAGGACGGUGAUAUAAGGAAAGCGAGGAGUGGAAAAGGAAGAAAGUUGGGAUGACAAUUAUAAAUAGUUUAGUACUUCGAAUCUUUAUGCACUGAGGUAUUCAUUGUGGUAGAAAUAAGUGUUUUAAAAGGCUCAUGAUUUUGGCGAAACUAUAUGAUGUAUGUGUGUUCUUUCACAUGGACAAACAUGAAAGGGUAUCCAUUAUGAAAUCAUAGACCAGUGAUGUAUCAUUUCUUUGUCUUUCAUAUUGCAAACAUGGCUCACAUGGCCGCACUCUGCAGAAUAUCGAGUUUGAUGAUGAUGAUGAUUGGAAGUUGGAACCAAGAGGAGGAAGCAAGUAAGUUUCAUUUGAUUUUCUGUUCAUAUUGCGGCUACUCUGACCAGAUAUGUAAAAUCUGGAUUGGUUUACUUACUUUCUUGUAUGUUCUAUACUUACAGUUUUUCAGUACUUGAUUCUUGUUGCUGCUCAGUGUAUCACUAAAUAAUCAGUGUUUUUGGGUACUUGCUUCUUGUUGCCUCACAGUGUAUCACUAAAUAAUCAGUUGACCAGUGUUGGCAAUGGUGCAUCGAUCCUAUUUAGUUCUGGUUC